GCCUACGGGGCGCAGCAGUGGGGGAUAUUGCACAAUGGGGGGAACCCUGAUGCAGCGACGCCGCGUGGGUGAAGAAGCGCCUCGGCACGUAAAGCCCUGUCAGCAGGGAAGAAAAUGACGGUACCUGAAGAAGAAGCCCCGGCUAACUACGUGCCAGCAGCCGCGGUAAUACGUAGGGGGCAAGCGUUAUCCGGAUUUACUGGGUGUAAAGGGGGCGCAGACGGCGAUGCAAGCCAGAAGUGAAAGCCCGGGGCCCAACCCCGGGACUGCUCUUGGAACUGCGUGGCUGGAGUGCAGGAGGGGCG
rnacentral:rRNA from 1 species